rnacentral:rRNA from 1 species
CUCAAGAUAAGAUUUCCCUAGGACUUUAUGUCCUCUAAAGAGCCGUUCGAGACUAGGACGUUGAUAGGUUGGAUGUGGAAGCAUAGUGAUAUGUGAAGCUGACCAAUACUAAUUGCUCGUGAGGCUUGACUAUACAACACCCAAGCAGUUG